ACAGGGAAUGAUCAGGAGGAUAAUGUGUGCAUCCUAGUAUACUGGCAUACUGGCAUACUAUUUACAUAGUAUGCUGUCGCAACUACCCCGUACUAGUGCGUCCGAGCUUGGCGUCCGCGAUGACCAACAUCUUACAUAACCGCCUUCCCACGUGACCCUCUCGCUCCAACUUGUCCAGCUUUUUUCUUUUCGCUGGAAAUUCUUUUGUUUGACGCUUUCCCCCGUUGCAAUCAAUUCAAACACGACAAACAUCGCAAACCGACAUCCAGCAAGCAAUAUCUAGAUCCAUCUAUACAAGUAUCAAUCUAUCAGACUUCUUCAGUGGAGGCACUGUCUCCUUUUUCCUUUUUCCUUCUUCCUUUCUUGUUAGAAAUCUUUGCUUUUGAACUUCUGGACGCACAUUGCGUCGGGAGCGUGAGGAGUUUUUGUUGAGAUUUGGAAGCUCAAUUUUGAAUCAACCGGCUUCGUGGAGGAGGGGGAUAGACAGAGAGGUAGGAACGGCGCGUUAUAUAUAUUUAAUAUACUUCUGGCCCUUCUCGCGACCUGCGAUGCGCCUUGAGGACCCUUGAGAGCUCGUUCGUGAGGCUUGCGGAACGGAUUUUGCUUAAGAACGUCGCCAAUUGGGAGGUUGCGCUGCAGUGUUGGGUAUCAGCUGCUUCAUCGCACUCUUAUCUAUAUCUACCGCACACCUAUUCGCUAGUUACUACUAGUACCUUGCCGCGCCCGACGCUUCUACUUCAAUCGCGCUUACAAGAACGACAAAAGCUUAGUUCAUGUCCAGCAAUCCAGAAGAUAUGACCUUGACCUCCCCCAAGCCCUCAAGCCCGGACUUCCCAACACACAACUCCCCGCACCACCACCACCACAACCACCGCCACCACCUCUCAAACAGUGCACAGCAGCAACAGCAGCAACAGCAGCAGCAUAACCUGGCUAUCGCCGCUAGCGCUGCUGCCGCCAGCUACGCUGCAGAUAACCACCUAGCAGGCCUUGUGGAAGCCGCCACGGCCGCAGCGGGACAGGAUGUCGACUGGGCGCAGAACGAC
rnacentral:sRNA from 2 species